rnacentral:misc_RNA from 1 species
GUUAAAGCUGGUCCCUGUACCUUGCCAGUAUCUCGAGUUGGAAAUUUUGGGGGUCAAGUUAUUCUUCCCUUGGCUCACACAAUUGAGCAUGAAGAGUUUAUGGAGGUAAUUAAACUUGAAAAUAUGGGAUAUCAGGAGGACAUGAUUAUGCCUGGUGACAUCUUCCUCCUGCAACUUUGUAGUGGAGUAGACGAGAAUGCUGUUGGCACCUGUGCUGAACUCAUCUUUGCUCCCAUUGAUGCCUCUUUUUCCCGAUGAUGCGCCUAUUAUUCCUUCGGGUUUCCGCAUAAUUCCUCUUGAUUCCCGGAUGGAUGCUGCUAGCCCAAACCGUACACUUGAUCUUGCCUCUGCUCUUGAUGUUGGACCCACUGGAAAUAAAGCAUCUAGUGAUUUUCCAGGCCACUGUGGGAGCACAAAAUCAGUGAUGACGAUAGCAUUCCAAUUUGCAUUUGAACUCCA